CGGGGGGGGCAAGCGUUGUUCGGAAUUACUGGGCGUAAAGGGCUCGUAGGCGGCCAACUAAGUCGGACGUGAAAUCCCCAGGCUCAACCUGGGAACUGCGUCCGAUACUGGAUGGCUUGAAUCCGGGAGAGGGAUGCAGAAUUCCAGGUGUGGCGGUGAAAUGCGUAGAUAUCUGGAGGAAUACCGGUGGCGAAGGCGGCAUCCUGGACCGGCAUUGACGCUGAGGAGCGAAAGCCAGGGGGAGCAAACGGGAUUAGAUACCCCGGUAGUCCUGGCCCUAAACGAUGAAUGCUUGGUGUAACGGGUAUCGAUCCCUGUUGUGCCGAAGCUAACGCAUUAAGCAUUCCGCCUGGGGAGUACGGUCGGCAAGGCUG
rnacentral:rRNA from 1 species